rnacentral:rRNA from 1 species
CUACGGGUGGCAGCAGUGAGGAAUUUUGCGCAAUGGGGGAAACCCUGACGCAGCAACGCCGCGUGAGCGAAGAAGGCCUUCGGGUCGUAAAGCUCUGUCAAGUGAGAAAAAAAUUCUUUGAUGAGCAGUCAAAGGACUUGAUGGUACCACUGGAGGAAGCACCGGCUAACUCCGUGCCAGCAGCCGCGGUAAUACGGAGGGUGCAAGCGUUGUUCGGAAUUACUGGGCGUAAAGAGCGUGUAGGCGGUUUGACAAGUCAGAUGUGAAAGCCCCGGGCUCAACCCGGGAAGUGCAUUUGAACUGUUUCACUAGAGUAUGGGAGAGGAGAUUGGAAUUCCUGGUGUAGAGGUGAAAUUCGUAGAUAUCAGGAGGAACACCCGUGGCGAAGGCGAUUCUCUGGACCAAUACUGACGCUGAGACGCGAAAGCGUGGGGAGCAAACAGGAUUAGAUACCCUCGUAGUC